rnacentral:lncRNA from 1 species
CGCGGAGGGCCGCUUCCCGAGGUGGGCGGUAGCUAGCUGCUAGAAGGCGCUUCCAGCUGAGGAAAUUGAGGACCAAAGAGACUACACACGUCUGCAAAUUGAAUCUCCUUGCACCCAAACCUUCUUUUUUCUAAGGAAUCUCCCAGAUGGUUAGGAAGACUGUCUUGUUUUUCAGGGUCCCCUUCUCUAGAUGCCACAGGAGUGACCCUACAAUGUACACAAAGAGACAGAAAUUCAAUCUGGUGCAGUGACCGUGGGAUACCGACAAAGUCUGAUUGGUCACCCGGUGUGCUUCUGAGCUGUGACAAGCAGCGAUUCAUCAUUUCUAUAGAGCAAAGCUUGAGUCUAGGCGUCACCUCACCCAGCUGGCGUGGUCACGAGUUAGGAAGAUGAACUGCUAAGGAAGAGGCUGCGAGGAAGCCGAUGUUUGGACAAAGGUUAAGGAGGCUGAAAUCUGCA